UACGUAGGGUGCGAGCGUUAAUCGGAAUUACUGGGCGUAAAGCGUGCGCAGGCGGUAAUGUAAGACAGAUGUGAAAUCCCCGGGCUUAACCUGGGACCUGCAUUUGUGACUGCAUUGCUGGAGUGCGGCAGAGGGGGAUGGAAUUCCGCGUGUAGCAGUGAAAUGCGUAGAUAUGCGGAGGAACACCGAUGGCGAAGGCAAUCCCCUGGGCCUGCACUGACGCUGAUGCGCGAAAGCGUGGGGAGCAAACGGG
rnacentral:rRNA from 1 species